rnacentral:rRNA from 1 species
AUUGAACGCUGGCGGCAGGCCUAACACAUGCAAGUCGAACGGUAACAGGAAGCAGCUUGCUGCUUCGCUGACGAGUGGCGGACGGGUGAGUAAUGUCUGGGAAACUGCCUGGUGGAGGGGGAUAACUACUGGAAACGGUAGCUAAUACCGCAUAACGUCGCAAGACCAAAGAGGGGGACCUUAGGGCCUCUUGCCAUCGGAUGUGCCCAGAUGGGAUUAGCUAGUAGGUGGGGUAACGGCUCACCUAGGCGACGAUCCCUAGCUGGUCUGAGAGGAUGACCAGCCACACUGGAACUGAGACACGGUCCAGACUCCUACGGGAGGCAGCAGUGGGGAAUAUUGCACAAUGGGCGCAAGCCUGAUGCAGCCAUGCCGCGUGUAUGAAGAAGGCCUUCGGGUUGUAAAGUACUUUCAGCGGGGAGGAAGGGAGUAAAGUUAAUACCUUUGCUCAUUGACGUUACCCGCAGAAGAAGCGCCGGCUAACUCCGUG